rfam:Pseudozyma antarctica DNA, scaffold: scaffold_v10019, strain JCM 10317, whole genome shotgun sequence.
GGGGGUUUAGCUCAGUUGGUAGAGCGUUCGCUUAGCACGUGCUAACUUGCGAAAGGUCGCGUGUUCGACUCAUGCAGUCUCCA